UCGGUGCUCAGUUGCUCACUUCUCACCCCUCUGAAGUCUGAACAAUAUCCAUGAAAGCACAGCCACCCAUUCCCCAUCUCCGCACGCCUCCUUCCCCUCGUCUCCUCCGCUUCGCACGCGCCCCAUCCCUGCACGCCUCCUUCCUGCACCGCCGUCGUCGCCCGGGCGCCCCCAGCCCCGGCCUCUCCCUCUGCCGCCGGCGCAGACUUGCCCCCAACCCUGGCCUCUCCCGCUGCCGCCGGCGCAGACCCGCCCCCAACCUUGGCCUCGUGCGCCCUCAUCCCGAGCCUUCCCAGCCCCGCCGGCGCCGAUGCGCCCCACCCCGGCCUCGGGCGCCCCCAUCCCUAGAAUCCCCCGUCGAAUCCCCCGCAGCCUCCCUCGCUACCACCGGCGCUCCCCUAGCUUCCGCCAGCGACACCCGACCCCAACCCUAGCGUCGCUCACCCUCAUCCCGAGCCUCCUCGCCCUCGGUCCCCGCCGGCGCGCCCCCAUCCCGGGAAUCCCCUGCUGCCCGGCGCGUCACGUUACUGCUGGUGCUGGAUUGGGCUCCCCUCCCUUCUUCUUCGACUCUGAGCUCGCUGGCGACGGGAACGGAGACGACCUAGCGGUGAUGGAGACGCUGCGGUCGUGUUCAUGGGCGCCAGCGUGCUCCCGGCAGCAGCGGACAGGGACCACGAGGUGGCCUGCGUGCGCAGGUGCUUCGAGUACUUCGUCGGGCGCAGGGAUCUCAUUUCUUGUUGAAUGCAACUUCAUUUUAGAUGUUACAUUUGACUGAUUUUACAUGUAAAUUUCAGGUAAGAGUUACUUUUAAGUUUGGUAGAUGUAGUUUCAGCUAGUGUCGUUACUUUCAUGAGCUUACGAGAUGUAGUUUUAAUGUUCAAAGUUACUUUUUAAUUUUUAGAUGUAAAUGUGAUGCCUAAAAGUUACAUCUACUUGUGAGAUGUUUAUGGGUAUUUUAACUAGCAGCAUAUGUUUCUGUUUUGAUUUUGAUUUUGAUUUGUGCUUGCCCUAGCCCUAUUUAUCAAGCGGUUAAUAUACCACCUGUGAUAGUCGAGUUUUGAGAAAGAUUCAUGUGCAAUUUUUUCGUGUACAAUAUGGCCCUUUAUUUUUUUUUGUUGAGGGCCAUUGAGAUCCGAAGAAACAUGGGCGGCAGUAGUAGUCUGGUAGAGAAAGAGAAAUGCUGAUGGGGUAAAAGUUGGGGUGACCCAUUCGUGCGUGGUAGGGUAUAAGUGAGGAAGAUGGAUUGUUUAUUUGUCGUCGCGCGUAAUGCGGGGACCACAAUAGGAGGAAAAGAAAUGAAAGGUCACCCUAUUGGUGCAUGGGGACCACAGCGGACAGGUAUCUGGUCGGGAUGCACUUUGUAUGCCAGAUCGUGCGCGCGCACUCCCUAGCUGCCUCCAUAUAUAAAUUAUUCUAGAGCU
rnacentral:lncRNA from 1 species